GCCGCAGUGCAGGCAGCCGACUGCUGGCGGAGCGUACAAGUUCUGUGCUCAACUUCGCCGCUCUUAAAGAGACCCGGGAUCCCUCUGGAGAGGCCCUCGGGAGCUGGCGGCAGGGCUGGGAGAGGCGUGGGUCAUCCUUAGAAGAUAUACCGAAACACUGACUGGGAGAAUAAAAGGACCCUCUUCCUGGCAUGGUGGCAUACCUUUCCAGAGAGAGAGAGGACGGAGGCUGUUGAUUGCUACAAUUUACAUCAAUGAGGAGCGCAUCCCUCUGAUUUAAUAAGCACUACGUGUAUGCCUGGUGUUCUCAGAGGCAAGAAGGCGGCGGCACUGAAUCCCUUGCAGCUGGAGUGUGGGCGAUCAUGGGUCAGCACGACGGCGCUGGGAACCCAAUCCAGGUCCUCUGCAAAAGCCACAAGUGUCCCUAACCACUGAGCCCUAGCUCCAGUCCCUUGCUAACGCUUUAACGAGACAAGAUUCCUACAAUGUAGUUCACCCAGUCGUACUUUUUCUUUCUGUAUAUUUGCUUUGCUUUGGAACUUAGAGACAUAAUAUAAAACC